GGUGGAUUAGUGGCGAACGGGUGAGUAACACGUGUAGUAACCUGCCCUUGACUCUGGGAUAAGCCUGGGAAACUGGGUCUAAUACCGGAUAUGACCUUCCAUCGCAUGGUGGUUGGUGGAAAGCUUUUGUGGUUUUGGAUGGACUCGCGGCCUAUCAGCUUGUUGGUGGGGUAAUGGCCUACCAAGGCGACGACGGGUAGCCGGCCUGAGAGGGUGACCGGCCACACUGGGACUGAGACACGGCCCAGACUCCUACGGGAGGCAGCAGUGGGGAAUAUUGCACAAUGGGCGCAAGCCUGAUGCAGCGACGCCGCGUGAGGAUGACGGCCUUCGGGUUGAAACCUCUUUCGUAGGGAAGAAGCGUAAGUGACGGUACCUGCAGAAGAAGCGCCGGCUAACUACGUGCCAGCAGCCGCGGUAAUACGUAGGGCGCAAGCGUUAUCCGGAAUUAUUGGGCGUAAAGAGCUCGUAGGCGGUUU
rnacentral:rRNA from 1 species